GCCACAUCAUAUUAAAACACUAGUUCCAAUAAAAUCACCGAAGUUAAGCAAUGUCGAGCCUGGUCAGUACUUAGGUGGUGAACACUUGGGAAUGCUAGUCGCUGUAA